CCACUGCAGUCAAAGCCGCCACCGUAGCACACGCUCGCCCGCUCCUCAGCCACCCGCCCGCUCUCUACUGAGCACCCCCACUAGCCCGGCGAACCCCGCCCUCAGCCCAGGAGGGGCGGGCUAUUCCUAACAGCUCAAGUUUCAAGUACCCUUACUGUUGGAAUCUUUCCUUAGCAUCUGGAGUUGUUUAGUUAACAUAUGUGAGUCUCUCACUCCCUUAUCAACCAACCACCCCUGCCUCAGUGGGCCUGAUUUGGUAUCAGACUUUGGUAAUAUCUAGCUCCCUAGGCUAAGGGGAUCCUAUUCUAGCCUUUAUAUAAGGAGAUGUGCUAUAUUUUGUUGCCCUUUGACCCAUGUUUGUCCAUAUGGGUCUGUCCAGGUGUGGUUUAGAUGUAUUCACAGACAUUUUUAGUGUCAUUGCUGCCCACUCUACCUCCAAGAGAAUCUUUGAUUUCUGCCACGAGGAUGUAGGUGUUUGAGAGCAGAGGAUAGCCAUGCUCCUCUCUUCAGAUAAGGUAUUGGGCUAGAAUUAUAUCUAUUCUCACUCCAUCCCCAAAUAUUACUAGUUUGGAAAAAACCAUUUUUAGGGUCAAGAUAAGUUUUUGUUCAAAGGAACAUCCCAAGCUAUUUAUUUAAGGCUUGGGUCCCCAUCAAAUGUCUGUUUCACAAAAAACACCAUUAGUAAAUAGCACUCACUUAAGGAGCAUCUCUUUAAAUAGUAAAUAAACACAUUUAACCAAGAUGAUAGAAAAAUAGAAAUCAGAGAAGGUAGCCAGAUGAAACUAUAUGAGAUAAUAUUGAGUAAAUGAGUUAUCCUGAUAGGAGUGAGAUCGUUUAACUGAGAGAGAACGCCCAUGAGGAAAUUCCCUGAAGUCCCUGGUAUAGCAAGGUAGGGAUGGAGGCAUGAUGAAGGCUCUGGCUCCUUUACAUGUUGGCUUCUUCUGUCUUCUUUGUUGAAGUUGGAAGACAGAUCAACAUCUUUUUUCUCCCUCAAACUCCGACAAUUCCGCCCCUCGUGCAGGCAUAGAGAAUCAAGCAAUGAGUCUCCACCAGUAAGGGGAAUCCCAUCUGAAAGGACUUUUGGGUCUCAGGUUAUACUUAUAUAAGAUUACCACCUCCUCCCCAAGCUUCUGGAGCCACUAGUUACUUUCUGCCUGAGGAAGUCCUUUUAGUCUGUUUCUUUCUGGUCAAGAAUAUAUGCUGAAUAAACUAGUUUGCUUGACCCA